UUGAGAGGACUGUCUUCAUUCUAAGUCGUUUCUCUCUUCUCUCUCUCUAGAAAGUUCUCUGUGCGACGAAAGCUGCGAUUCAAGUGAGAUUGAGUACCGGCGCAAGUCUUCUCCUUGGUGAGCUUGUAAAUGAGAACGGAGAUUCCGAGGGCGUGGACAGCUUCGGCGGCGACGAAAAGGUUGUCAUGGUCGUGAACAAUCACUCUUAAGAAAACGGGAGCAGUCAUGGCGGAUACAACACCGAGAAAAGCUUUGACCUUUGGUGGUUGCCGGCGAACCCAUGUCGUCACGGCGUGGAUCGGCUUCUGCGCCGCCUUCAUCUUUUGAUUUCGCUCUUUGCUUUUGUUACUGGAGAUAGAAAAUAGUAAAGUCGAGACCUUUCGUGGCUUGAGAAGUUGGAGUUUGCCGCAAUGAGGGGAAGGAGCUACACUCCGUCACCACCAAGGGGUUAUGGGAGGAGGGGUCGAACAAGCCCAAGCCCUAGAGGAGGUGUUGAGAAGUGAUUCCUUGAGUAAAACGUGCAUACGAAAGGAGUGAAGACAGUGAGGAGAAGAAGAAGAAACGUGAAGCACAAGAAACAAGCAAGAAGAAUCAAGAAACGUGAAGGAAGGAAGAAGAAGAAAAGUCAAGGUCAAAGUCAACAAGGAAGUUAGUUAUGUAACUAGUAGUUAAGAAGUGAGUAGUCAAGUUAAGAGUCAGUCGGUUAGUAAGCUAUCUAAGUUCAGAGUUGGUAAGAGAGUAAACUAAGAGAAUUGGUAAGAGUUGUUAGAAUAGUCAAACUUUGGAGUGUAAGAUUAGUCUAAGACUAGAAGUAUGGAAAUAGGUUUAAGUGACCAAGGAAGUAUGGUAAGUGUCAGCACGAAGUCUAAUAUGAAGACUGUCAUCGUUUGUAAGAAGUCAUGCAAGUAUGAAUGAAAAAUCAGUUUGGAAAAACUAAGUCUUGCAUAAUCAAAAACAGAGAGAAACAGAGAACAAGAGUAAGAGUUUAAGAGAGAAACAAAACAAACAAAGAGACAAAGUGAAGAACAAAUCUGCAAUGAGAAGAAUCUCAACAGGAGGCCGUUAUGGAGGUCGUAGUGUGGACCUCCCGACCAGUCUUUUGGUUCGCAAUCUAAGCCAUGACUGCAGGCAAGAAGAUCUCAGGAGGUCGUUUGAGCAGUUCGGGCCUCUUAAGGACAUGUCUAUGCCAAGGGAUUACUAUACUGGGUAAGUAUGUUUGAUAGAGAUUUUUUUUACAGUAAUCCAGUGUUGAUAAAAGUGUGUGUGGAUUAGUUUUUUGAAUUUAGCACAUGUUUAGACUUGUACUUUUCAGUCGCCUAAGGAGAAGGAUCAAGGAUGCAAUGUUGCUUGAUAUGUUUCAUGUGUGUGUUAAUUGAAGUUGUUGAGGUUUAGCAGUGAAUCUAAAGAAUUGAAGACAUGAAUUAGAGUUCUUACGAAGAUGUUGUGUAUGGUAGUGAAAGAGUUUCGAAGUGAAAUUGAGUUUAAUAAAAAAAUGUUUAAUAAUUUUUUUUUUAAGAACCUUAAAUUAAGAGACUUUGCAUUGGAGCAUGUAAAUGUCAGAGUUUCUUAAUGUUGUUUCUUAACACACAUUUACUAUUUAAAAGUAGUAAAAGAAAAAUAAGAGAUUCUAAAUGGAU